GGACGUUAACGGCGUCGAGCGGCGGACGGGUGAGUAAUGCCUAGGAAAUUGCCCUGAUGUGGGGGAUAACCAUUGGAAACGAUGGCUAAUACCGCAUGAUGCCUACGGGCCAAAGAGGGGGACCUUCGGGCCUCUCGCGUCAGGAUAUGCCUAGGUGGGAUUAGCUAGUUGGUGAGGUAAGGGCUCACCAAGGCGACGAUCCCUAGCUGGUCUGAGAGGAUGAUCAGCCACACUGGAACUGAGACACGGUCCAGACUCCUACGGGAGGCAGCAGUGGGGAAUAUUGCACAAUGGGCGCAAGCCUGAUGCAGCCAUGCCGCGUGUGUGAAGAAGGCCUUCGGGUUGUAAAGCACUUUCAGUCGUGAGGAAGGUAGUGUGUUUAAUAGAUGCAUUAUUUGACGUUAGCGACAGAAGAAGCACCGGCUAACUCCGUGCCAGCAGCCGCGGUAAUACGGAGGGUGCGAGCGUUAAUCGGAAUUACUGGGCGUAAAGCGCAUGCAGGUGGUUUGUUAAGUCAGAUGUGAAAGCCCGGGGCUCAACCUCGGAAUAGCAUUUGAAACUGGCAGACUAGAGUACUGUAGAGGGGGGUAGAAUUUCAGGUGUAGCGGUGAAAUGCGUAGAGAUCUGAAGGAAUACCGGUGGCGAAGGCGGCCCCCUGGACAGAUACUGACACUCAGAUGCGAAAGCGUGGGGAGCAAACAGGAUUAGAUACCCUGGUAGUCCACGCCGUAAACGAUGUCUACUUGGAGGUUGUGGCCUUGAGCCGUGGCUUUCGGAGCUAACGCGUUAAGUAGACCGCCUGGGGAGUACGGUCGCAAGAUUAAAACUCAAAUGAAUUGACGGGGGCCCGCACAAGCGGUGGAGCAUGU
rnacentral:rRNA from 1 species